rnacentral:rRNA from 1 species
UACAGAGGUCCCAAGCGUUGUUCGGAUUCACUGGGCGUAAAGGGUGCGUAGGCGGUCGGGUAAGUCUGAUGUGAAAUCUCACAGCUUAACUGUGAAACUGCAUUGGAUACUAUCCGGCUCGAGGAAUGGAGGGGAGACUGGAAUACUUGGUGUAGCAGUGAAAUGCGUAGAUAUCAAGUGGAACACCAGUGGCGAAGGCGGCAUCCCUGGCCAUGUCCUGACGCUGAGGCUCGAAAGCGUGGGGAGCAAACAGG